rnacentral:tRNA from 1 species
GUGGCGGUGAUGUAAUCUGGCAGCAUAUGAGGUUGUGGCCCUCACAGUCCGGGUUCAAAUCCCGGCCGUCACC